UGUCGGGCGCCGCCGAGUCGCCUCGCCACUCCGCUGGAGUGCGGGCGAGCCGGGGACCCACCGCAGUACUGGGGUGAAUCCUGCUCCGAGCUCCGCUCGCGCAGGUAGGGCUUCUUCCCGCCCGAACCCGUCAGCUAACUCGGUAGGCGGCCGUGGAAGAAAUG
rnacentral:sRNA from 2 species